rnacentral:rRNA from 1 species
AAAAUUUAAAUUUAAAAUACUAAAAUAGUAAAUAAGAAUUUAUUGAAACUUAAAUAAUUUGGCGGUAUUUUAGUUCAUUUAGAGGAAUCUGUUUAAUAAUUGAUAUUCCACGUAUAAAUUUACUUAAUUUAUAAUUUUGUAUAUCGUUGUUAUAAAAAUAUUUUUUAAUAAAAUUAAUAUUUAAUAAUUGAUAUUAAAAAUUAAAUCAGAUCAAGAUGCAGAUUAUAAUUAAGAAUAUAAUGGAUUACAAUAAAUUUAUUUAAAUGGAUUUUAAUUUUUAAUAAUUAAUUGAAAGUGGAUUUAAAUGUAAUUUUAUUUAAUUUAAUAAAAUGAUUAAAAAUUAAAAUAUGU